rnacentral:misc_RNA from 1 species
GGGUGUGACUAUGCUCUUAUAAGGUAAGAUUGGUCUACAUGUUGAAUAUAUCUUGCUUUGACUAUGAUCUACAUAUAUGAGAUUAUUGUCAUUAGUGAAAUUUUGCUAUGAAUUUCAUAUUCUCAUUAUUCGUAUAAAUAUUAUAAAUUUUUUUUGCUAGUUUUGACUGCACCUUUGAAAAAUUUCCUUUCUCUAUGUGUUUAUGGGGAUUUGGUUUCAAGUAGAGUUGAAUGGAGAAAAAGGAUCCAUGUAGCUGACUCCAACUAAUUUGGGAAUAAGGCGUAGUUGUCAUUGUUGUUGUCGUUUGUUCUAUAUGUGUUUUGAUAAUUGGUUUACUUGCAGUGAACCUGAUUCUUAAUUUUUCUUUUACACUUAUUUUACUUUAUUUUUUAGAUGAUAAGGAAACUAGUUGCCUAACAUAUGAUAACUUGAUAUUUAUGGUGAUAUGAUAUUUCUUUUCUUUUCUUUCCCCUUUAGAGAUUAAAGAAUUGUUACUUUUUAAUUUGUUUAGCAUUGAAAUUGUCCUUUAAGGUGGAAGUGUAAGAUUAUCUUGAUCUUUCAAGCAUUUUCUUUGAAAUUUUUUUGCCCAAAAAUUUCUCUCGACAUUUGUUUGCUGAAAUUGCUUUUUAAUGAUAGCUUAUACUAAACUCAACUAAGUUAUAUGGAUUCUUUUCAUUCAUAAGACUCAGUUCAUGCCUAUUUCUUCAUAAAGAUCUAGAGUUGCAAAAUGCUUUCUCCUUGCUUCUUUUCAUGUAAUUUUGGCCUUAAAUGUUAGAUGAGAACUAGUUUAUAGUGAAAAUAUAUGAAUAAGUAUUUUUAAAUGAUAGGUUUUAUUAAUUGAUGCGAUGAUUACAUUGUUUGUUAGACUCAUUGAGGGUGGGAACCCCAUUGUCAAGUAUAUUAUAGGUUUGCUGAGGUGCUAUAAUAAAAGAAAGACCAUAAUGUUUGACAGUUUUCUUAAAUCAGGCAGAAAACAUGGUGGCUUAUGAUUUAAAUGUAGAUUUGAGUCUUGAUGGACCUGAAAUCAGUGUUUGCAUCUAAUUUUUCUAUUUUAAUUCUCAAGUAAAAUUCUAGCUGGAUUGAUUGAAAGAAUUUUCAGGAUCUGCAGCUGAGGUGGUGGCUCCAGUUGAUUAAGAAUUUUGAAUUUAUGCUAAUGCAAAUGUGAAUGCAAUGGUAAAAUAAAAUCAAUCGUGUAAAGUGGUAAAACUCUUAAAACAGAAGUGAUAAUUUACUUACAUUAUGGGUGUGAACCUAGUAAAAAACUGUGAAGUCUUUUGUUUCAUAAAUCAUAUUUUUACCUAUUGUCAUUCUGCGUUUUUUAAUGUCAUCAAUGCACAUGUACGACUAAAAUGAUGCUUCCUUUUUCUUGUGUCCUUAAUUAUAGGAAAUUUUGCAGGAUAUGUGAA